AUCUCUGCUUUGGAGGAAAGGAAGACACAACUGACAGACGGAGCUCUCCUGGCUGGAGCUCGCAGGUCCCGAUGGGCAGAACCAUGAGGACGCUUGCAGGACCUUUCUUCCUGUUCCUGUGGCUGCAGCUGCACUGUGUUAGUAGAGGAGAGACGGUGGAGCAGAGUCCUUCUUUCUUGAGUGUCCAGGAGGGAGACGGCUGUGUUAUCAACUGCACUUACACGGACAGUGCCUCCGACUACUUCUUUUGGUAUAAGCAAGAACCUGGAGCAGGUCUCCAGUUCCUUAUAAGUAUUCUCUCCAAUGCGGAUAAGAAAGAAGAGCAAAGGCUCACCGUCCUCAUGAGCAAGAAGGACCAACAUCUCUCCCUGCACAUCGCAGCUGCCCGUCCUGCAGACUCAGCCACCUACUUCUGUGCUGCAAGAGCACAGUGCUCCCCAGGCACCUGCAGCCUCUACUCAAACCCGCAGUGAGGGCUGAAGGCAUCUCAUCUGUUGUUGCUGUUGGCGAUUGGGAUUUUCUGUAUUUUAAAAAUGUAUGGAUGUUUUAAAACAUGUUUCAAGAAUUUCAGCUUCUAAAUGACCAAAUAAGCUUUAGAAUAUUUGAAUGAAUCUGUGUCAAAAGUUUGUGAUUUGUAGUUAAAUCAUAAGGCUGUAGGGUUGACCUAACUGGUGCCCUAUAGAAUUCUCCCUCCCAUGGACACCUGACAUGAUGGUCUGAGUAUUCUCUUCCAGACAGAAAGUUCUCUGUCUUUUCAUAAUCCAAUUUAUUAUCAUUCAGAGUCUGAAAUUAUUAACGGCAUGGUAUGUUAAAACUGUCAAUAUAGGGUAGAAAGUUAAAAUGUCUUGGAAUACUGUCAUACAAAUAAAUCAUGGCUAGCAUUUGGUAUUUCUUUUUUGUUAAAAUAGUAUUACAAAUCAAGAUCACCAGACUAGUAUUUUGAGUCAUUGCCCACUGAAUAUGAAGUCCU